ACAAACUUGGUCAUUUAGAGGAAGUAAAAGUCGUAACAAGGUUUCCGUAGGUGAACCUGCGGAAGGAUCAUUAACGAGCCGUGAGGGUCACCUGGAAACAGGUAUGACCUUUCACUUGGCCACCCUUGUUUACCUUAACCUGUUGCUUUGGUGGGCCCGCCGCAAAAUGGCCGCCGGGAAACCUAUACUUUCCGGGCCCGCGCUCACCAAAGUCUUAAUGAAUUCUUGGUUAUACUUUUUGCUGUCUGAGCAUUAAAAUAAACAAAUAUACUUUAAAACUUUCAACAACGGAUCUCUUGGUUCUGGCAUCGAUGAAGAACGCAGC
rnacentral:misc_RNA from 1 species